rnacentral:rRNA from 1 species
GACGAACGCUGGCGGCGCGCUUAACACAUGCAAGUCGAGCGAGAACCAGGGCUUCGGCCCUGGGGACAGCGGCGAACGGGUGAGUAACACGUGGGUAAUCUGCCCUCGGUUCUGGGAUAGCCCGGGGAAACCCGGAUUAAUACCGGAUGGCCUUUCGAGCUUUCGGGCCCGAAAGGAAAGGUAGCUUCGGCCUCCGACCGAGGAUGAGCCCGCGGCCGAUUAGCUUGUUGGCGGGGUAACGGCCCACCAAGGCGACGAUCGGUAGCUGGUCUGAGAGGACGAUCAGCCACACUGGGACUGAGACACGGCCCAGACUCCUACGGGAGGCAGCAGUGGGGAAUCUUGCGCAAUGGGCGAAAGCCUGACGCAGCGACGCCGCGUGCGGGAAGAAGGCCUU